CACCAAGUGCGACCCUCCUGCUAAAGCAGCACUUACAGUAGGGGGAAGAUAACCUUGAUGGAUAUCCUGAGCAUUUGCUUAUCCUGAAAAGAGCACUGCAUUUGUGCUGACACAAUGCACAUCUUUCAGCCUUCAACCCUCUCUAUGACUGCAGAAUUGCAGACAAGGCAGCCAGAACAAGACUUCUUUCCAUGGCAUUUUCCUUGCUGAAAGGAGAAUUACAAAUCUUGGGUCUACCUUCACAAGGAGACUUCUACACCAUCCUCCAGCUGGGAGAGGAUCUUCUGUCAUCCUGCUUGGAACUAUCAAACCAUGAGAGAGGGGAGUUGCUCAGAAAGUCACCUCACUCUUUGGCUUCCUUGAACUCAUGUUGUGUCCAGUUCCUCAUUCCUGGGACCUAAAAGGAGUUUGGACUGUGGCUUUCCUGCACACCAGAAUGAAGAAACAGAAAAAAGAGGAAACCAACAUUUCUGUGCCCAGUUUAGGAAAUGGUGUCUACUUUGAGUACCAACUGACCCAACAAGAUUUUCCAUUUCCAAAUGC